rnacentral:rRNA from 1 species
AUGAAUUCUACUAUUCAGUGCAUGAACAGGGUUCCAGAACUGAAGGCUGCAUUGACAAGCUAUUCGCAUAAUGCCAAGCGCGAUGGGAUUGACGUCAUGUCACACAAUCUUUCAGUUGCAGCUAAUCAUAUAUUUUCAGAGCUUGAUAAAAAUACUGAAGCAGUUAGUCCUUCAAAGCUCUUAGAGAUGAUGCGAGCGAAAUAUCCAACAUUUGCCGAACAGGAAAAUAAUGUUUAUAGGCAACAGGACGCUGAAGAGUGCUGGUCUGGCCUAUUGAAUGCGUUUUCUGAAGCUUUUGCAUCAGAAGCAAGUGAGCCUACCACUGAUCAGAUGAAGGAAAUUUUUGGGAUUGAACUUGUGAGCAGGUCAAAAUGUGCAGAAAAUGGUGCAGGGCGUUUGAAGACACAAAGUGUAAAGCUUCUAAGAUGUCCUAUAACUGAUGGCAUGAACCACCUUGAUGAGGUACUUGAGCAUACUCUGAGGACAGGAGAUUCGAUGUAUGAAAAAGAUUCAGAAAUAAAUGAGUUGCCUAGGUAUUUCACGAUACAGCUUGGUCGGAUGUGGGAUGAAAUGCAAAACAGACUGACCAAAAAAUUUGAUAAAGUGAGCCAUCCACUGCAAUUGGAUCUUUAUGGGCACUGUUCAGAUGAAAUGAAACUUAAACUUCAAGCUGCCAGAGAGGUCGCAGAAUCUGGUGCCCUGGGAUCAUCUUACAUGGACAUUGAUCAAUUUGAUUCUACUGUACCAAAGAAACAAUUAACGGGCAUAUACAAUUUGGUAGCAGUUGUGACACACAAGGGGCCGACUGCAAAUCUUGGACAUUAUGUUGCAUGGGUUAAGCAAGCUAAUGAGACGUGGAUUCAGUUUUCUGACGAUAUGACUAGCACACAUGAGGACAGUGAGAUUCUCGAACUAUCCGGUGGUGCUGAUGACCAACAUGUGGCUUAUAUCUAUCUGUACAAGGCUCAGCUUAUCUGA